GCAGACCACAAUGCACCGCUCACGGCGUCGGUUGCCCGGGCAAUGGGCCGCACGCUACGAGGCCCACACACCCAGAAGGUGGAGCCCCGGCCGGGUUACGAGGACCACCCAGCUGUCUGGAGAGAUGAAGAAAAUGAGGUUCAAAGAGAUGAAGUCUCUUGCCUAAAGUCAGUGACAGAAAGUGACAGAGCUGGGAUGUGAAUCCUGGUCUGACUCUACAGUCCCACAUGGUAGAUGGAACCUCCGAGCAACACCUAAACAAAAGGAGUUGAUGCCUCCGAACAGAGUAAUGUCGCUGGAGACACUAAGCAUCGUCGGCCCCUGGCAGGAGCUCCCUAAAUAUGUGUUGGAUGGAUGGAAGAAAGGAUGGAUAGUUCAGAGUACUUCAGCCUUGAUUCCUCCGCAACAGACACCUGAAACUUGACCCUACAUUGGUUCUUGGCCAUCGUGAUCUUCCUUGGACAGAAUCACCUUUCAGCUCCGGUCAUCAGACUUUCCCAGGGCCCUCAGAAAGCCCUUCAGAGUUGUUACUCACAGGCAGGCUGAGGGAUUCCUUACGGGGUCUGCAGCUCUCCUCACCUCAUCCACAAGUAGGACCGUGGCCUGUUCCUCACUACUGCCCCAGGAUCACUCUGUUCCCAGCCCAGUCCAGCAAUCACUUGUCUAGCUUUCUGGAACCUUGAGUACUUUCUUGAACCAUGAGUCCUGUGACCACCCUAGCAGCUCUAACCCUCCCUUAUCUGAAAGGAAGUGUGAGGUGACCUUGCAGGUCCCAGAGUUGAUUGAAGACCCCAUCCAGAAAGAAGGCACCCUGUGGGAGAGAUUGCAAGGCCUAGGUCUGAAUCCGGAAGCUUCCACCCCAUGGAGAAGGGCUGGCACCAGCCUGGGGCUGGCAGUGGAGCUGAGCUUUGGAGCCAAGGACUGUACUGCAGUGCAGGGAGAGUGAGGCCAGAAAGGCUGAGACAACUCAGGGAAAGAAAACCUCCCUUCUGGCUAAUAGUCAAGCACCGCCUGAGUAGACCAACACUCUCCUGUCCACAGGGGCAGCAGAUGAAGACACAACCAGAGAGGACUAACAGGCCCCCUCAGCUCUCAGUCAGAGGGCAGAGCAACACAGAAUAGACAUUAAAGGAACAGACUUUGAGGCCAGGCAGCCUUGGGUGUGCAUCUGUCCCUACUAAGCCAUGUGACAUUAAACAAGUGAGUCCACCUCUCUGAGCCUCAGGUUCCUCAUCUGUAAAAUGGGGAUUAUAAGAGUUCUUGUUUCUCAGGGACAAUGUGAGGAUUAAGUGAGAUGAUACACAUAGAGAAUGUGGUGCAGUACUGGGCACAUGGCAAAGAUCAGUGAUGCUAGCUACCACUUAUCAUUAGUGUUCCUGUAGACCAGGACUUCUCAACCUUGGCACUAUUCACCUUUUGGGCCAGAAAGUUUUUUUUGUUGUUGUUGUGGGGAGCUGUCCUAUGCAUUUGAGGAUGUUUAACAGCACCCCUGGCCUCUACCCACUAGAUGCCAAUCACACCACACCCCCAGUUUCAACAACCAAAAAUGUCUGCAGAUGGUGCCGAAUGUCUUCUGGAGGGUGAAAUCACUCCCCAGCAGUUGAAAAGCACCACCCUAAACAAUCUGGACUGAAUUUGAAUGUCACAGAUCCCAAGCUCACAGCUCCAUGUAAAGGCCACAAGGCAGGCAGGCCUACUUGCAGAUGAAGGAACGGAAAGAGCAACAAUUACAGAUCAAGCGGCUAGCUCCGGUGUAGACUAAGAGGCGGGAUCUGUAGUCUGCUCUAGGAGCUAACAAGGCCUCUGUGACUCAGUAGGUGACCUCAGUGUCACUCUUUAAUUAUAUGCAAAGUGGUCUUGUGUUAACUCUUAAUUAUUCUAGGGCUCCAAACAAGAAAAUAGGUAGUUGGUAUCUGAUUUCUGGCAUCAAGAUCCUGAUUCAUUGACUGGGAGAAAAUCUGACUCUCCAAAACUCUUUCAGAGUUCAUUUAGCCCUUCAUUUAUGACUCUGGGGAGAUUUCUGAGCGAGAGCUAGGUGUCAGGCCCUGUUCCAGGUGCUGGAGAUGCACAAGAGAACAAAAUAGGCAAAGUUUCCUUUUUAUGGAACUUAUAGCAGGAGAAUAAAGAUAAAAACAAGCAAAAAUAUUUAUCUCUGAUAAGGGCAAUGGAUAAAAAUAAAGUAGAAUAGGCCAGGCACGGUGGCUUACGCCUGUAAUCCUAGCACUUUGGGAGGCCAAGGCGGGCAGAUUGCCUGAGCUCAGGAGUUCGGGACCAGCCUGGGCAACACGGUGAAACCCCGUGCUGGGAUUACCUGCGUGAACCACCGCACCCUGCAUCAUUUUUUCAGCAGACAUUUGUUGAGCACCUGCUUGAUACAAGGCACCCAUCUAGGCACAAGGGACAUGAAAGGAAGCGAGUCAGACACAGUUCCUAUCCUUUUGGAGUUUAGAUUUUAUGUGUGGAGACAGACAUUGAACAGGAUGCACACAGGAUCACAGGAUGUGACAAAUGCAGUGGAGGAGAAAGAUAGGCUGGUGUGAGAGCUGUUAAUGGGGGCUCUGCUCUAGCCGGAGAGGCAAGGAAGGCUUUUCCAGGAGUCACAUUAGAGGAACAAUCUAUACAAGCAGGGAACUAGGCUGGGGGAAGUGCAGGGAGCUUUUUAGGUGGAAAGAACAGCAUGUUCAAAGGCCUGAAGCUGGAAGGAGGCUGGCUGACUUGGCUCCAGAGAAGCUGUUGGGGGAGUGUGGGAGAGACAAGACAGGGAGUAGGGGUGGGGAGAAGCCAGACCUUUGGAGUCUUGUAAGUCUGGUUAAGACACGUGGACUGUCUUCUGCGGCCACCAGUGGCUCUGUUGAGGUGGGAAAUUAAAGAAAAGCAAAAUUAAAAAGAAAGAGAAAUAAGUUUUUCUGUAUGAGGGUGACUUGUCCCAGAGGCAGCAAUAGGCACAGGCCAGACCCAGGAAAAUUCUUCAUAAUAUUAUCUAAUGUGCUCUGGAGAUUCUCCCAGUACUCCCUCAACAUAGGGAGAAGAAAAACAAAUUUUCCUUUGUUUUAUGGAAUGAGUUUAUAGAUUCCUAUUCUCUGUAACCAGUGACUUCAAGUAUUGUUUUAUCUAAGCAGUGGAGUGAAGGUCAUGAGCCUCUGAGCUGGCCUGAGUUACGGCCACCUGGGCGCCAUAGUGAAGGUUAUGGGAUAAGUCUGUGCCUGGGCAAACCUAGAUAACGGACAUCUGGGUUGCUUGGCAACGGUCACGUGCAAUCCUGAGUUUGUCCUGCCUCUAUAUCCCUGCUUUCAUGCCACUGUAAGCUUGCUUCAAGCUAGCCCACCCCCUUUUGUGAAGUGUGUAUAGAAGUCAAGUGCUGUCUUUCUUCCGGGCCCAGUCUUUUGGACGUUGAGUCAGCUGGGCCUGAGUGCACUCAAUAAAUGAUUCUCCUGUUUUAGAUUGAGACCAUCCUGACUAACACGGUGAAACCCCGUCUCUACUAAAAAUACAAAAACAAAAUUAGCCGGGUGUGGUGGUGGGCGCCUGUAGUCCCAGCUACUCGGGAGGCUGAGGCAGGAGAAUGGUGUGAACCCAGUAAAUACUGCACAUGUGUAAUGAGCCGAGAUCGCGCCACUGCACUCCAGCCUGGGCAACAGAGCAAGAGUCCGUCUCAAAAAAAAAAAAAAAAAAAAAAAAAAAAAAAAAAAAAAGGCCGGGCACGGUGGCUUACGCCUGUAAUCCCAGCACUUUCAGAGGCUGAGGCGGGUGGAUCACGAGGUCAGAGAUCGAGACCAUCCUGGCUAACACAGUGAAACCCUGUCUCUACUAAAAAUACAAAAAAUUAGCCGGGUGUGGUGGCGGGCGCCUGUAGUCCCAGCUACUAGGGAGGCUGAAGCAGGACAAUGGUGUGAACCUGGGAGGCAGAGCUUGCAGUGAGCCGAGAUGGCGCCAUUGCACUCCAGCCUGGGCGACAGAGCGAGACUGCAUCUCAAAAAAAAAAAAAAAAAAGAUUCUCCUGUUUUAACCCGAGGUCUCUCUCUCAUCCUCCUGAAUCCCACAACACUGAAAGGUAGUGGGUAGGGAUUCAUAUGAUCAGAGGGCCACUGAAGUGGGCAGGUUAGUAGGGCAGCCAGGACACCAGUGAGGAGGUUAUUGAUUGUUGCCUCUUUGCUUCAGGCUCUUGGUUUCUCCAUUUUAAACAUCUGUUUGCACUCCAGGUGCAGUGUCUCAUGCCUAUAAUCCUAGCGCUUUGGGAGGCUAAGGCAGGAGGAUGCCUUACCCAGGAGAUGGAGACCAGCCUGGGCAAUAUAGCAAGACCCCAUCUCUACCAAAAAUAAAAAUAAAAAAUUAGCUAGUAUAGUGGGGUGUGCCGGUAGUUCCAGCUACUCAGGAGGCUACAGCGGGGAGGAUUGCUUGAGCCCAAGAGUUCAAGGCUGCAGUGAGCUAUGAUUGCACCACUGCACUCCAGCCUGGGCAACAGAGCGAGACCCUGACUCAAAAACAAAAACAGAAACAUCUGUUUGCAAAGCCCUGGUUCUCUCAGGGGACAGAGAGGGGAAUGCAAAGAAGUUGUUUUUCUCUCUCGGUAAGAGCAGAACCCUUGGUACCCCCAAACUUAUCAUCUUAGGAUCACAAAGCCAGAGCUUAAGGCUGUACAUAAUAAUCUGUUUCUUCCAGGAGCCACUUCCCCCAAGAAACUCCAAAGGUAUUAUUUCAUUAGCAGGGUGCCAGGUGGUUUUGGCCAGGGCCUCUGCAACUCUUUUCUCUGUGACCAUUUUCCAUUUCGGCUCAUAUAAAUCAACCUUUACUACAAAGCUAUAAAGUAAAAUAAUGUAAUGAGUGCAGCCAACUGCAGCUGUUCUCAAACUCAAUGUCACAGCCAUUACACAUGUGAAAUAUUUACAGGGGUUUUAAUCAAUUUUCUUUCCUGACACCCGUUUUUUAUUAAAAAUUACAAAAAUAAUAAAUGCACAUGGUAGUAGAUACAGAAGAACACAAGGAAUGAAUUAUAAAUGUUAACUGUACAGAGAUAACCAUUGUCAAUAUUUUGUCUUAAAUACAUCCAGUCUACAGAUAAGAACAUAUUCAUAUCAUAUAAUACCUAUCACACUGUAUGUAUCUUUUUUUUUUUUUUUUUUUUUUUAGACAGGGACUUACUCUGUCAAAUAGGCUAGGGUGUAGUGGUGCGAUCGUACCUCACUACAGCCUCAAACUCCCAGGCUCAAGGGAUCCGACUGCCCCUCCCUCCCAAGUAGCUGGGAUCACAGGUGCACACCACCACACCUGGCUAAUUUUUUUGAUUUUUAAUAAAAAUGAGGUAUCACUAUGUUGCCCAGGCUGGUCUCAAACUCCUGGGCUCAAGCAAUCCUCCCACCUUGGCCUCCAAAAGUGCUGGUAUUAUAGGCAUGAGCCACUGAACCUGGCCAAUGUAUCAUUUUUGUUACCUGCUUUUCGUAAUCCCAGCACUUUGGGAGGCCGAGGCAGGUGGAUCACGAGGUCGGGAGUUCAAGACCAGCCUGGCCAAGAUGUUAAAACCCUGUCUCUACUAAAAAUACAAAAAUUGGCUGGGUGUGGUGGUGGGCGCCUGUAAUCUCAGCUACUUGGGAGGGUGAGGCAGAGAAUUGCUUGAACCUAGGAGGUGGAGGUUGCAGUGAGCCGAGAUCGUGCCACUGCACUCCAGCCUGGGCGACAGAGCAAGACUCCAUCUCAAAAAAAAAAAAAAAAAAAAAAAGCCUUCUACAACAUAACUAUUUACUUAUGUAUUUUUAAAGAUGGGGUCCCACUCUCACCCAGGCUGGAGUACAGUGGUGCAAUCCUAGCUCACUGCAGCCUCAAACUCCUGGGCUCAAGCAGGCAUCCUGCCUUCACCUCCCAAAGUGCUGGGAUUACAAGCAUGAGCUACUGCACCCAGCCCAAUUUUAAUAGCUUCUUUAUAGCCCAUGCGGCCAGGGGCGGUGGCUCACGCCUGUAAUCCCAGCACUUUGGGAGGCCCAGGUGGUUGGAUCACUUGCGGUCAGAAGUUCGAGACCAGCCUGGCCAAUAUGGUGAAACCCCAUCUCUACUAAAAAUAUAAAAAAUUAGCCAGGUGUAGUGUUGCGUGCCUGUAGGCUACUUAGGAGGCUGAGGCAGGAGAAUCGCUUGAACCCAGGAAGCAAAGCGGAGGUUGCAGUGAUCCGAGAUUGCGCUAUUGCACUCCAGCCUGGGUGUCACAGUGAGACUCCGUCUCAAAAAAAAAAAAAAAAGUCCAUGCAUAACUUCUUGAAACAAUCACUUAUCAGUGGACACUUAAGUUGCUUCCAGUUUUUCAGUAUUGUAACAGUGCUUUGUUCUGAUGAAUAUCUUUCAAAGAUAAAAAUAAUCUUUUUAAUUCUACUUUCAGAAGUAAUAGGUACUCAUUGUAUAAAAGUGAAACACUGUAGAAAUUUAGAAUCUGAAAAAGAAAGUUCCUUUGUAAGAUCUGUAAUCUUACAACUCAAAGAUAAUGUUAAAAUUUGAUUUUUUCCCGGCAUAUAACAGGCUUUUUUCCUUUUUACCAAAAUGGGAUGAUUCUGAGUUCCCUGUCACGAUAUAUAAAUCUACUUUAUUCCUUUCAUAAACUUCCAUGCAUUUCCACCACCUGUCCCCACCCACCCACCCACAUCUGUAUACACACAUUCUGCCUCCCUUGCCGUUACCCUGUAUGAACUGUUCAUGCUCCUAUCUAAGGCCAUCUCCCUGGCACUGGGUCCAUCUCCUCUCAUUCCUGUGAUUGUCUCUUCUCCCUCUCCUGCAUCAUCAGUUUCCCCUGUCUACUGGAUUAUUCCCACCAGCGUGCAAACAUGCUGUCAUAUUCUUUUAAAAAUGCUUCCCUUGCCUACACAUUCUCCUGUAGCUACCAUCCCAUCUCGGCUUUCCUCCAAGAGUUGUCUGUACUCCCUGUCCCCGAUUCCUCACCUCCCAUUCUCUCUUUAAUCCACUGCACCCACACAGCUCAAAUGUGGUGGUCACCGGUGACCACCAUGCUGCUAAACACAGUGGCCAAUUCUCAGUGCCCUUCAUGGCCAUACAUGUCACAGUUGCUCUCUUCCUCUGGGUCCUCCCUUGGCUUCCAGGACCACACACUCUCUUAGCUGUCCUCCCAUCUCACUGGCUGCUCCACCUCAGGCUCCUCUGUUUGUUUCCCCUUUUCUCCAUGACAUCUGAAGGAAGAAGUGAACCAGGCCUUCUCUAUUGGGCUACUUCUCUAUUUAAACUCUCUCUUGGGAGUCUCCAUUUUCAUGGCUUUAAAUUUCAUGGCUCACAACUCUCAAAUUUGUAUUUUCACCCCAAACUUUGCCCCUGAAUGCCCAUCCCAUAUCUCUAAGUCCUAUUUGAAAUAGCUCUAGGAUGUCUAACAGGCAUCUGUCUCAAACCUAACACAUCCACAACAGACCUAUUCUACUCCCAAACCUGCCUGCUUAUCCUGCAGGCUUCCUUAUCACUGUAAAUAGCCACUGCAUUCUUCCAGGUGCUCAGGAGAGAGAUCUAGAAGUUUUCCUUGACUUGUGUAUAUUCCUCACACCUCACAUCUAAUUUAAGCACAUUAAUGAGCUUAAAUUCUUUAAGCUCAAUCUUGAAAAUAUAUCUCACCACCUUCGCUCUUCUUCUGACCUUUUUUUUUUUUUUUGAUACAGAGCUUCUCUCUGUCAUCCAGGCUAGAGUACAGUAGCACAAUCUCAGCUCACUGCAGCCUCCACCUCCCAAGUUCAAGCAAUUCUCCUGCCUCAGCCUCCCUUGUAGCUGGGGUUACAGGUGUGCACCACCACACCCAGAUAAUUUUUGUAUUUUUAGUAGAGACGGGGUUUCACCACAUUGGUCAGGCUGGUCUCAAACUCCUGACCUUGUGAUCCACCCGCCUCAGACUCCCAAAGUGCUGGGAUUACAGGUGUAAGCCACCGUGCCUGGCCUUUUUUUUUCUUUAAGAGAUGAGGUCUUGCUCUGUUUUCCAGGCUGGAUCCUGGGCUUGAGGGAUCCUCCUGCGUCAGCCUCUCGAGUAGCUGGGACCACAGGCACGAGCCACCGAUGCCUGGCUAAAUUUUUACUUUUUUGUAGAGAUGGAGGUCUCGCCAUCUUGCCCAGGCUGGUCUCGAACUCAUGGACUCAAGCAAUCCUCCUGCCUCAGCCUCCCAAAGCCCAUGUCUGGCCUGGGCUGUCUAUUCUGUCUCACUGCUCUAUGUGUUUAUCUUUUUGCUGAUACCACCCUACUUUGAAUACUGUAACUUUAUAGUGAGUCUUGAAGUUGGGUAAUGUGAGUAUGUGAGUCCUCUGACUAUUUUUUUUUUCAGAAUUGUUUUGGCUAAUCUAGUACCUUUGCCUUUCUCUGUAAAAAAAUUGUUUUGGCUAGGCCGGGCAUGGUGGCUCACGCCUGUAAUCCCAGCACUUUGGGAGGCCGAGGCAGGCGGAUCACAAGGUCAGGAGAUUGAAACCAUCUUGGCUAACACUGUGAAACCCCAUCUCCACUAAAAAUACAAAAAAUUAGCCGGGCACGGUGGCAGGCGCCUGUAGUCCCAGCUACCUGAGAGGCUGAGGCAGGAGAAUGGCGUGAACCCGGGAGGUGGAGCUUGCAGCGAGCCGAGAUGGCGCCACUGCACUACAGCCUGGGCGAUAGAGCGCGACUCCAUCUCAAAAAAAAAAAAAAUUGUUUUGGCAAAUCUAGUACCUUUGCCUUUCUAUGUUGCCCGGGCUGGAGUGCAUUGGCUACUCACAGGCAUGAUCAUGGUGUAUUAUAGCCUCAAACUCCUGGCCUCCAGCGAUCUUCCUGUCUCAGCUCCCAAGUAGCUCCCAAGUGUGCAACUGAGACUACAGGUGCAAAACACAGUGCCCUGGCUUCUCUGUAAAUUUUAGAAUCAGUUUGUAGACAGUGUCUGGGAGGAAAAACUUUUUAUCUACCCUCAGGUUUAGUCUUUGGGGACCUGUGAAUUAAACAGACGAAAGAUAUAUUAACAAGAGAAGGCCAAGCGUGGUGGCUUACACCCAUAAUCCCAACACUCUGGGAGGCUGAGGCGGGAGGAUCACUUGAGUCCAGGAGGUCGAGGCUGCCGUGGGCUAGCAUCAUGCCACUGCACUGCCCCAUGGGCAACAGAGCGAGACCCCUGUCUCUAAAACAAACAAAAAGAAGACAAAAUUUAAUCAUUUAUUUUAUUAACAUACAUAUGGGAGUUCACCAGAAAGACUAUCCACAUUACUAGAGAUGGAAACUUUCAGCUCCUUCCCCCAACCUCCAGGGAGGGGAGUGGGGCUAGAGACUGGGCUCCAAACACUCUUGAACAGGAGGUUCCGAAAGUCUGGAAUGAUGAACGCAUUGAUGUGCUGGGAGGGUGGUGCACCUGGAGAGGACAUGGAAGCUCUGUUCCCACCUCCUCCUGCUGUGCCCCGCCCCAUGCCUUGCCCUAUGCAUCGCUUCCAUUUGGUUGAUCCUAGUUGUAUCCUUUAUAAUAAACUGGAAAAUGUAAAUAAGGUGCUGUCCUGAGUUCUGUGAGUCACUCUAGUAAAUUAUUGAACCUGAAGGGGGUGAGUGGGAACCUCUGAAUUUGUAGUAGGCCCAACAAAAAUGUGGGUAGCUGGGGCACCUCAUUUGUGCAGGCAUCUAAAGUGGGGGCGGUCUUGUGGGACUCAGUCCUUAACUUUUGUUCAGGGUCUGUGCUAACUCUGGGUAGUUAGUGUCAGAACUGAAUAGAAUUUUCAGAGGUCCAGUUGAUCUCAGAUAAUUGAACAAUUGAUGUGGAAAAAUGACACGUAUCUGGUGCCAGAGAUAAAGACCGCACCACACAUUUGGUGUCAGAAAUAGUGUCAAAGAUAAGACAUCACAGGAAGUCACUGGUAUUAGCACAGUGUUAUACAUACAGA
rnacentral:lncRNA from 1 species